UACGUAGGGUGCGAGCGUUGUCCGGAAUUAUUGGGCGUAAAGAGCUCGUAGGCGGUCUGUCGCGUCGAUCGUGAAAACUUGGGGCUUAACCCUGAGCUUGCGGUCGAUACGGGCAUGACUGGAGUUCGGCAGGGGAGACUGGAAUUCCUGGUGUAGCGGUGAAAUGCGUAGAUAUCGGGAGGAACACCAGUGGCGAAGGCGACUACCUGGCCUGUUCGUUGACGCUGAGGCGCGAAAGCUAGGGGAGCAAACGGG
rnacentral:rRNA from 1 species